rnacentral:pre_miRNA from 1 species
UGAUGAUGAUGAUGAUGAUGAUGAUGAUGAUGAUGAUGACGAUGACCUUGAUGGCGGUCACCAUCAUCAUCAUCAUCAUCAUCAUCAUCAUCAUCG